rnacentral:rRNA from 1 species
UACAGAGGUCCCGAGCGUUGUUCGGAUUUAUUGGGCGUAAAGGGCGCGUAGGCGGCGCGGGCAGUCAACGGUGAAAGCUCGGGGCUCAACCCCGAGUCGGCCGUCGAUACUCCCGUGCUCGAGCACUGUAGAGGCAGGUGGAAUUCCGGGUGUAGCGGUGGAAUGCGUAGAGAUCCGGAAGAACACCGGUGGCGAAGGCGGUCUGCUGGGCAGUUGCUGACACUGAGGCGCGACAGCGUGGGGAGCAAACAGG